CGCUGGCGGCAUGCCUUACACAUGCAAGUCGAACGGUAGCGGGCCUUCGGGUGCCGACGAGUGGCGAACGGGUGAGUAAUGUAUCGGAACGUACCAUUGAGUGGGGGAUAACGUAGCGAAGUUACGCUAAUACCGCAUAUUCUCUCCGGAGGAAAGCAGGGGACCGCAAGGCCUUGCGCUCUUUGAGCGGCCGAUAUCAGAUUAGCUAGUUGGUGAGGUAAAGGCUCACCAAGGCGACGAUCUGUAGCGGGUCUGAGAGGAUGAUCCGCCACACUGGAACUGAGACACGGUCCAGACUCCUACGGGAGGCAGCAGUGGGGAAUUUUGGACAAUGGGGGCAACCCUGAUCCAGCCAUGCCGCGUGAGUGAAGAAGGCCUUCGGGUUGUAAAGCUCUUUCGGCCGGGAAGAAAUCGCAUGGGUUAAUACCCUGUGCGGAUGACGGUACCGGCAUAAGAAGCACCGGCUAACUACGUGCCAGCAGCCGCGGUAAUACGUAGGGUGCGAGCG
rnacentral:rRNA from 1 species